AUGGACUUCUUUAACAAACUUGUUUAUUUGUGAAUAGACCCAGGUGGUAUGUAAAGAGUUAAAAACACUAUAGAAAUCUCUUAAUUCAGUGUAUACCCCGACUUACCCACAUAUAAUACGGAAUACCCACAGACAACCAGUGUUCCCUUAGUUGAUUUAAGAAAAUGUGCAAAUCCAUUGAUUAUUUUCAUUUAGUAAAAUAUAUUUGAUGUAUUUUUAUACCCAAAUGAUUCACACAUUCUUAUUAAAGCAACAAUGGGAUUUCCAGUUGUCUGUUGGUAUUUUAUACACAUUCCGAGGAGAAAAUCUUUUUUUUGUGUACAGGGGGAAAGAAAAUGUGAUGAUGGCCCUGCUCAAAAGAACUUGCAAUCUAAUGUUAUAUUCUAAAGAGCUGCUCUGCGGUAGACACUAGGGUUCUUCCAUAUUAAGCACCGUUCCACAUAGAAAUUGACAGCUUUAAUUAAAUCUGUCACUGGGCUGGGGGGAGUAUGAGACAAAAUAAUGGAAUGAGAAGGGGGAACUUGAAAAGAUAACACGUACAGGUUAAUUAUCUGGGGUGGGGGAUAGGAAUAAUAUGAAGGGUAGAUGGGAAAGUAAUAAAACGGGGAGUAGGAAAAAUAAUGCUAUUGAGGUAAGCGAUGGCUAAUCUUGCCUGUGAAGUUAUAAGUGGACUCCAUUUCCCAUGGUGCUUAGCCAGCCUUAGGAAAAUGUAAUGUGGUAUCGUGCGCCAUGCCAAGUUAGCCAUGGCUGGGGGAUGGGAUAAAUGAUACUAUGCUGUGUGUGAACAUAAUCUCUAUUAGAUAUGGUGAUAUCCUCGUUUUGAUUAUGCUAACCAUUUGAUUGCAGCAAUCUGAUACCUACCUCCUCGUCUCCCUUUCUAGGUUAAAAUAAAACCUUCACUUAAUAUUAAAUUCUUUUGGAUCAUUUAGCCCACUUUUAAGUAAAUCCCUUGCUUUCCCCUUCAUAUAGCACUGUAGUCUCCGAAUAUAAUAAAUUAUAAUUUCUCGUAAGAUCCCACUGUGAAGUUAUUUUAUUUUUCUGUAACCUCGUGUAUAGCGUCUCUCUUUAUAAUGCUGGGUCUGUCUGUUUAACGGAUUGUCCAGUGAUGCAGAUUAUGUCUAAGGGUAUCACGUGAUUUUAUUUUGUAAUGAUUUUUUUUUUUUUUUUAUUGUUAUAACAGAAUUUAGUAACAAUAAGCUUAUGGUACAUCGACCCAUUUUCAAGUCUAUAUCACUCGUUUUGCAUGUUGGGGAGGUCUCUCUCAAAACUUUGUUAUUCCAAAAUUCUUUAAUUUCAAUAAAUAAUAUAUUACGCAACGCAAAUACUCCUAUUUUGCAUGUGUUUGUGCUACAGUUUCAGGUUACCCUUCAUGUUUGUGAAGGAGAGUCUUGGCGUGGACUUGCUAAAUGUUGAGACUUUAAGGUAUCUGAAUUUAGCUCUGUUUUAAUGAGUUGGGGCCUCAAUCCUUGUUGUGUCUUGAUUUCCAGUGAAUCGUCGCAUGGCAGGUGCUUUGCACACAGAAGGUUUAUGAGGAUCGUUGCCCUGCACAUUGGGUGACUGGGGGAUAAAGGUUGCUGGGUGGGGAGCUGUGGGGAAGCUCGAGGGGGAGGUAGGCUGGGGAGAGAAUCUAAGGGACUAAAGAGAUCUCUGUGGAUUCCUGGGGCUGUGGGAGGGCACACACCAGGUCUGUAAUUUUCCAGAAAGCUGAGAGUAAAGAAAGCCAGAGAUACAGUAAUUAUCAUCUAGAUUUAGUCUAUACCUUUACCCUGUCAUAUACAGAGCAGGUAACGUGUGUGUGUGUGCGAUAGCAUAUGUUACAUUCUUUACGAAAACAAAGAGAAGCACACUGCUACUCAAGUGGUAUAACAAUCUUUAAAAAAAAUUUUUUUUUAAAAAGACAGAUGUUCAGUCUGUAACGAUACCAUAACCAGUAAAAAAAAACAUGUAAGGAUCCGUAAGAUUCCACCUUCACAAAUCUACCCUGAGUCCACAUCUUAAUAUAGUGACUGUUCUGAACUACGAAUUUAACAUUUUGCUUACCCUGUGGUUUCGGAGUAGGAACCAAAGAAAAUGGGGAGGGGCGGUUAGACUUUCAUAAUAAUCCCAGCUUCACAGUUUUUCUACAGACGAAACAAUAUAUUAUCACUAGGGAGCCUAUUAGUAAAAUGGGAAAUGGGAUAAUUGACUUUUUUUUUUUUUUAAAUAUAUGUUUUUUGUUUUUCUUAUCUUUCUUAAACCGUGAAACAUAUGGCACUAAAAGCUACACAGGGUGUGGGUUGGUGGGGUUUGUCCUAAAUCCAUGUCCUUCCGGGCCCUGAUUUUGGAUUAUACCCACACCCCAUUUUCGAUCCAUUGGUCUGUGAUCAUUGGAACGGACGUCUUUGUGCUUUAUAUUACUUUGCGUCGUGGCUUCUAUGUAGUAAAAUCUACCACUGAUAUGUAAUGUCUCCAUUUUUUUGUCUUUGCAUGUUUUGAUGUCUCUGUUGGCCAUAACAUUGACGAAUCUAGUCAACCUGUCUGUUUGAUCACAUGAUUACAAUCCGGUUAAUAUCACAAAAUAUCCUAACCCUUAACAGACUCCAGAUGCAGACAAAGAAUACUAUGGGUGAUGUGAGCAUAGGGGAAAUUUUUGGGGGGACAAAAAGGCCAUCACAUUACACAAAUUUAGUGUCACAGUUUUCACUCACUCCAUCAGCCCCUGGAAAAUAAAUCAGAAAAUAUAAUGUAUGAUAUUUAAAACUUUUUUUACCAGUACUAACUUCAUCGAAACGUGUCCCUCGUGGGCUCCGCCAUCUUGAUCCACCACAUUGUCUUCAGCACCUGGCACUUAAGCUACCAGGAGCAAACGUCAGUGCUGUACUCUCACACAUGCGAGCUAGUACAGCAUUAAGGUCUAUGGAGGAUCCUGCAACACCAUUGGAUCCUCCAUAGACCAAGCUUUCUUUCCACCAGUGGGGGGUGGGGAAUGACAAGCUUGACAAAAAGUAGCUUCGUCCGGUGUCAAGCGUAAGAAAGAUACUGAGACAAAGUAGUCCUUGCGGGUCCCUCCAUGGCCGUUGCUCGCGAGUUGACAAAACACUAGCUCUGUCUUUUGUCAAGUUACAUUUUACCAUAAAACAAAGUAGUGUCUACUGUUACAAAGUAUAAACCUACACACUAUAUGUACAUGCGUUAACGUAUAUAAAUACAAUAAAAAUUGCUACAGGUGUUCACUGGUAAAAACCAAAGGAAAAAGUUACCUGCGCUCUUCCCAAAUCUCUAUGCAUAUUUAAGCAAAUGGAGGUUAUUUAGUUUCUACAAUGUAAAUGAGAGACUUUAGGCCACCUGCAACGUUAAGGCAAACCUCUCAGGUGGGUCCUACACUAACCUUUCACUUUGCUUCCCUGAGCUUCUAGCAGAGAUAUCUGUAAUGAGACAGAAAAGGGUAUUUUAUUUUAUUUUUUAUAUACACCCCUACAUGCUUAUUAACCCCUAAUAAGAAACACAUGGGAUGGGCGGCAGCAUUGUAACAUAGCUGUGUGAUACAAAAGUGAAUACAAAUACAAGGGAAAAAAAAGUCCUGUGCUCAAAUUCUCAUUACUCCAUGAGAGACUUUAGCCCACCUGCCACGUAGGACCCACCUGAGAGGUUUGCCUUGAUGUGGCAGGUGUGCUAAACUCUUAAUGGCCAUUGGAGAAAAUAAAUAACCCCCAUUUGUUUAAAUAUACAUAGGGAUUUGGGAAGAGUGCAGGUAACUCUUUUUCUUUGUUUUUUACUGUAUGUAUUGGGGCUGAUGUGUACUAUGGUCAUUGCUGCCGCCCAGGAGUGAUGGGAGUUUGAGCACAGGACUUGUUUUUUUGUUUUGUUUUUUGUAUUUAUGUUCACUGGUAAAACUUUCUUUCUCCAGAUCUGCUAUCCUGCUUAGGAUGCCAGAUGUCAGUCAUUAAGUGUGAAUUGUUUUUUAUCUUAAAGUGAAUUCAGAUUGAAUUUCCAAUUUCGGUUUGAAAUGGUCGAAAUAAACAGAAACCUAGUUUUAUGGAAAAUGUUCAAUUCACUUUAAAUUUGCAGCAUUUUUCCCACUUGCAGUGCACUGCACAUGUGUGACUGGCUAUUGGGGCCUGGCCUUUUACAUCCACCUCCAGCUAGGCCGUUAUUUUGUCUUUGGUUGGGUUUCAGACAAACACUAUGUAAUGAGUGCUAGCUUAUAAGCAGAAAUUCAAAAAAAUAGGAAAUCUUGCAAAUUAAUUCUGUGUGUAUGUAUUUAUACAGAAUAUCAAUGACACUGUAUGUUUAUAACCACACCUGCUUACAAGUGCAGUGCUCACAGCGCCUUUGAUCCCUCCUGCUCACACAUUACCUGAUGUGUAGGCAGUACACCUAAUCCGCUGCUGUAACUGUAGAAGCCUGUGGGGGAGGGUAAUUAGAUGGUGAGGGGUGUAUAAGUCCUCGUUGAUCUCUAACCCUAUCCCUCAGCUUAACCUGGUGGCAGUUUGGGCAGCAAUUAUCCCCCCCCCCCUCCCUGCAUGCGCGCACACUGCCAUGUUGCUGGACGAGCCAGUAUUAGGAGAAGUGGGAUCAGAAAUUAAAUUAUUGGUGCAGUGUUGGGAGGAGGACAGUCCAGCGCUGUAAGGGUUAAUGCGAGCAGCGCACUUACUGGCAGCCUAGCGAAGAGGAAGCACUCAGUGUGUGCAUGCUUUCCAUUCUGGGUAUACUCCUUCACACAGCAAGCCAAGACCUGCUCAUCCCCCCUUUCCUUGCUCCAAGGCCACACUGGCAAUCAAUUUGAUAUAUAAUUUUUUUUAAUUUGGGGGGUUGAAAAAUGCUGAAAACCUUGCCGUGUUCUAUGCACGGACAGAGAUAUGGACCCAAUAUUAGUGUCUGUGCAUUGAAAUAAAGACAGUACCUUAAACCAUUUUAAUGUCAGUGCAGUGUGCAAGUCAAAUAAACCUUCUCCCCGCAGCUGGAAGGGUUAAUGAAAAACGGUUAGUUGGAUUUUUUUGUUUUAAUGGGUUUUUUAUUCAGUUUGGCAACAGGUUAACCUCUUCCUCUGCCUUAUUUUUUUUUUAUUUUAGAUCCGCUACCGGUUUCCAUGGCCGUUCUAUAAGUGGUAGAAAAUUACAGUUUAUAGAGAUAUUUGCCUGUAUGUUUCCUAUCCUCCACCCCAGUCCAUUUGACCCAGCACCCCUUCCUGCUCUCUUCUCCACAUUAUCUCUUACUUGAACCCCCCCAGUCCAUCUGCUCCCACCCCCAGCAAAACAGCUGGCGGCUCCUUCCUGACACAGUCCCCCCUCCUGCUGUAUUCCCUGCCCCUCCAUACAAAAUUCUGCCAGUUUCCUCUUAUGUCUCCGGGAGGUAUAAGGGAAAAGGAGGGGGUGUUUCCUCCCCUGCCAAAGUUAAAAAGGUGGUUUCUGAGUUACAGAGCCGGAUGACUGGGACCCUCCCUAUUCCCCGAAUUUCCAGAUUCAAGAGACAAGAAUAUGGACAGCAAAGGGGAUGGGAGUGCAAAUGACACACACACAGCUAUUAUUAUUGGCAUUUAUAUAUCGCCAAGUUUUUCCACAAAGCUUUACAAUAUAAUAAAAGGGGGAAAUUUAACAACGAAUGAGACCAUUACCAAAUGUUACGAAAGCCAUAGGGUGAUGAGGACGCUGCUCAAAUGAGCUUACAAUCUAGAGGCUAUAGAGAGGGAAAUUCUGUUUAAUAAGAUGCUAACGAGAUUAAUUCGCAUUUUACAGACUUGUUUGUAAAACACAUACAUUUAAUAUAAAGAGAAUGGGUCUGUUAUCGAAUAUGUCUGUAAACAUCUGCGUGAGAGUCCUUAGUUAUUGGAUCUAACUAAACCAUGAUUUCUGGUAUUUUAUCAAUUUCAGCCGGCGCCAUAUUGGUAGCUGAUGGUACGUUAUAGGGCUUCGGGCUGCCAAUGAACAAAUCGUUAAUUGAACAUUCCUUUAAUGAUCAAGGACGUGUUUGCAUUCACACCUGUCUGCUCUACUGAAGGAGUUAACUACUGAAGGAGUUAACUAUACUGGCAGGUGAUCCUAUAGGCAGAUGCCUGUGAGAUAUCCCCAGUAACUUCAAUGAACUCUAUGCACAGGAAACCAGAUAGAUUUAAAUAGAGUUUUUCUUUGUAUUUGUGGACGUUCCCAGUGUGUGUUCCAUAGAGGAGUCCUGAUGAAUUCAUACAUGUUUUGGUACUGGCUUUUAUGUAGCUUUGAAAUAGUCGUAUUAAUUAAUAUUUAUUUAUUAAUUAAUUGUUUCAUUUUGUAACUUGUUGAUUUGGCAACUCAAAACCCGUCUUCUCUUGACCCACACAGGUCUCUGCUAAGAUUCCUCAAUCUGCUCUCCCCCGCCUAAGGCUUGGUGUCUCUCAUUCCCCCCAUCCUACCCCUGUUGGCGUCUCUUGUGCAUCUUUCAUCAGCUCCUCACCCUCAGCCGUUAUGUCUUUUCCCUUAUGUUCAUGUCUCCUGUACUCCAGUCUUUAUUCCUCUGUUCUAUCCCUUGUCACAACCAUCUUGUCUGCACCCCUGUCACGGUUCUCACCUGAUAGACAGACGGCAAGACGUGGCCGCUCUUGGAGUUCCCAACAGGGGACUUGAACCGGGGAUCUUCUCAGUCCUGGUCCUGCGUUCUACCUCUGAGCCACAGCAGCUAUUUACAGUGAAGACUGAUUCCAGUCCUGUUCAUCCUGACAUGGCUACUACUCUGGGGGCUGCACCUUGACUUGGCUGUGUUUCACCUGACUCUGAUCAGUCAUCAGCAGGGUAUAUAAACCCAGCCUCGCCCUGUGCUCAGGGUCAAGUCUUUGAUCCUGUUUGUUCCAGUGUUCCUGUUUCAUCGCUUCGCAUUAUUGACCCCGGCUUCCUGACUCGUUUAUUCUGACUUCUGGCAUCCCUUGACUUCGGCUACUCCUUGUUGUUCCUGUCCUCUGGCAUCCUUUGACCUCGGCUAUCCCUCGACCAUCCUGCUGGUUCAGUCCUUGCCUGUCCUGCGUAUUGGUACUGCAUCCUGCACAGCCCCCGUGCACAGACCCACAGGCCAGGUGAAUUCUUACCUGACCACCUCGGCCUGUGGCUAUCUGCAAGGGUGAGCAUCAUAUCUGCGCUACAGACUCCCAACUCAGGUAAGACCCUGACAUAAGACUUGACCAUUAUGGAGUCCGCAGAGAUGUGCUCACCCUCGACCCAGCGUGUGUCCAGCCUGGCCCAGACUGUUUCGGAGCUGCAGCAAGAAAUUUUAUUCCUUAAAGGCGCAGUACAUCCAGCCCCGGAACCAGCUUUUCCUGAACCGUUUGUCAUCAUGCCCGACCGAUUUGAUGGUAGCCGCACAUCCUUUCAGUCUUUCAAGAUGGAUUGUGAGGUGUUGUUUUCUUUAAAGCCUCGAACAUAUGCCACAGAAUUCAUCAGGGUCAGAGCGGCUAUCAACCUGUUGUCUGGACGCAUCAAAGUUUGGGCUCACCAAAUGUUGCAGACGAAGAGUCCUGUCCUGGUCAGCUGGGAAUCCUUUAGUACUGCUAUGGACUCACAAUGUAAGACCACUGUGGCCAAGUCAGCUCCACGUACUAAAAAAUCUCAGAUUCUUCCUAACCAAGUAACCGAGUACCACCACUACGCCCCAGAGAUGCCUCCUUAUGUUCCAGCUUCCAGGAAAUCUCCAGAGGUAUCCGGUGUUCCACUUGACCCUGUGGAUCCUAUGCAAUUAGGACUCGUCCACUGCAAAGUGACACCUAAGGAAAGAGACCGAAGGAGAAGCUAUGGCCUAUGUUAUUACUGUGGAGAAAAAGGGCACUUCAUCACGCUUUGUCCUGUUCGCCCUCCUAGACCUCCAGCUCUCCGACUUGGUACUAGUUUCCUUCGCCCUGUGUACACCGCAUACCAGCCUAAAAAGCCAAAUAGAAGCCGUUGUGCUUGCACAUGCUUGGCUUCCGCGAGAAAACCUCCAUCCCCUGCUCCAGAGCCUCCUGCAUCUACUCCCGAAGUUGCUUCCUGUGAUACCACCACUACUUCCUGCCCGCCCGAAGAGGUUUUACCUGUGGAUUGUGCCGUUGCUUCUAAUGGCACUAUAGUCCGUAAAGAAGACCUUGAAAUGUUCGAAAAAGCAUUGUUAGCUGCGAACACUGCUCCUGCCAAAGUUUUGGAAGUGCUUGCCACCUGUACCCGGAACCUAAAAGACCUGGACAAUUCUCCAGCCGUACCAGAAGCUGGUACUGCGGACUCCCAAGCUGUAAAGGGAAUCCUUGCUGGGGAGUUUGACUAUGGGGACUCACUGGAUUCAGAUAGUGACCCUGGAGAGGUGUACUAUGCUGACAGUGAACCUAUUUACGCCCGGAGGUCGUUUUUAAAGGGGGGGGUACUGUCACGGUUCUCACCUGAUAGACAGACGGCAAGACGUGGUCGCUCUUGGAGUUCCCAACAGGGGACUUGAACCGGGGAUCUUCUCAGUCCUGGUCCUGCUUUCUACCUCUGAGCCACAGCAGCUAUUUACAGUGAAGACUGAUUCCAGUCCUGUUCAUCCUGACAUGGCUACUACUCUGGGGGCUGCACCUUGACUUGGCUGUGUUUCACCUGACUCUGAUCAGUCAUCAGCAGGGUAUAUAAACCCAGCCUCGCCCUGUGCUCAGGGUCAAGUCUUUGAUCCUGUUUGUUCCAGUGUUCCUGUUUCAUCGCUUCGCAUUAUUGACCCCGGCUUCCUGACUCGUUUAUUCUGACUUCUGGCAUCCCUUGACUUUGGCUACUCCUUGUUGUUCCUGUCCUCUGGCAUCCUUUGACCUCGGCUAUCCCUCGACCAUCCUGCUGGUUCAGUCCUUGCCUGUCCUGCGUAUUGGUACUGCAUCCUGCACAGCCCCCGUGCACAGACCCACAGGCCAGGUGAAUUCUUACCUGACCACCUCGGCCUGUGGCUAUCUGCAAGGGUGAGCAUCAUAUCUGCGCUACAGACUCCCAACUCAGGUAAGACCCUGACAACCCCCUACUUCUCCUCCAGAGCUCCCAAUGUUUGUUCCCCUUUAAUUAAUACUGCCCCCUGUGCCCCCCAUGUCUGUAUCCCUGCUCCUUAAUACUGCCUCCUGUGCUCGCCAUGUCUGUAUCCCUCGUUCCUGCCCCUUAAUACUGCCCCCUGUGCUCGCCAUGUCUGUAUCCCUCGUUCCUGCCCCUUAAUACUGCCCCUUGUGCCCCCCAUGUCUGUAUCCCUGCUCCUUAAUACAGCCCCCUGUGCUGCCCAUGUCCUCAUCCUGCCUCUUAAUACUGCUCCCUGGGCUCUCUGCUCAUUGCUGUUGACCCCCCCCCCCCACUAAAUUUGAGGUCUUCUUUGACCCCACUGUCUGUUUCCAGAGUAAUAAACUGGAAGGGGUUUAUCACCUUAUAAUUCGCCAGAUUCCCUUCCCCCUUGUACAUUUACCUGUUCUGUUCUGACACAUCACCAGCUUUUACAGAGAUCCGUUUUCAAUUAUUUCUCAUAAAUCCACUUCAAAAGAAUGUGGGGGUUAUGCAUAAAGAGCCAUUCUGGGGCAAAGUUCUAAACGUGUAACUGGAACAUUCCAUUGGUUUCUAUGGUGAUUGCUCCACUGGUAGAACUUUGCCCCACAAUUCAUUCUUUGUAGAUAUGGCACAAUGUAUCUGAAUACCUGCCCCAGCCUGCCUCUCCCACUGCACUCCCCAUCUGUGCCUGAUCUUCGCAUAGACAGGCUGCUUUAUUACAUUGUGUGAAACAGAUCACCUUUUUACUUCCAUAGAUAUGGCUGUUGGCAAAUGCAAAGUGUUAAUAUCUACCCUUCCUGCCUGGAAAUGGUUAAUCAGUAAAGGACAAGAGGGUGACAGGAUGAGGGUAGAUUAGGAGGAAGCUCCAUAUAGCAGAUGGCUCUAGAGAGAUGGGGGGGAGAGGAGUGGAGACUAAACCCCCUUCUCUAAGGAAAGAGAAUAGGAGGAGGGGGGGGAAUCAUCGCUCUCAACAGAUGGAGGGGGCAUCGGUUCCCCUUUAACUCCUUCACCACUCCAGAAGGGCAGUGAUAAACUGUGCCGCUGAAUUCUGUAAUUAAAAUGUCACCGUAUCCUGUUAUGAAGAGAAAGGGUUAAUCAGAUUUGUACUUGGCCCCCCUCCAGUUGCCUGUAACUGGGAGCUCUCGAUUAGGUGGGUUCAGUGUGGUGAAUUAUAGGAGGGGGAUUUUGGUACAGAAAUGACCUUCCUUCCACCCCCACACCUUAUUGUCACAGACGUGUGACUUUGGGAAGGUCCCUUAAGGGGGAGAAUGAAAAAAGAGACAGUGUCUGAAGGAGGGGGAACAAAAAAUGCAGGGUUUAGUGACUCAGUCCCAGCAUCCCCCCUCCCCACAUCCCUUCCAGCCUGGGUAUAUAUAGAUAUAUUUAUAUAGAAAUGGACAGAUUGUAUAUCUUGUUGUUGUAGAUACAUGCAGAGCGGGCUAGUGUCAUCCACAGUGGUCUAUAGGUGAUGGCUUGGUAAAAUUCGAGGGAUAUUAUAGUAAGAGAGGCAGGUGAGGGAACAGCGAAUAGCAUCAUUGGCCAAGAAUAAAUUGCUAUAUAGAGCUCUCUCUGGAUAUAAUGAGAAUCAGACGGUGGACUCCUGGAUAGAGAGACAUAUGUAAUUCUCUUUGUCUAUCUACCCUUCACCUUUCUAUUUCUGGAGAUAUAGCUCCCCUUCCUUUGUCCUUUAUCUUCUGCAAAUCACCCCCCCCCCCACCCUUCUUUGCUACCCCCACCACUACCACCACCGUGCACCAGCUAAUUGCAUAAACCCCAUCAUGUACAGGCGCCGUCAAGCUGUGUUUUUUUGGCAAGCAGCUUAGGGGUUAAUAGUAUAUCUCUCUUCCACCUUCCCCCAGUCCCUUCCCCUCUCUGACCUUUCCACUAAUAUCUUUCCUCUCUCCUCCCCACCCCCUUCUUAUCUCCCCCUGGGGCUGUUUCCCCCUUCCUCCCUGCUCCCUCCCACCCCCACGCCCUGGUUUCUAUUCCUGGUCUGUAUUUAUGACUGACCCCCUUCUCUGCUCUGCCAAACCCACAGUUUCCAUCAUGAGGGUGCACUGCCUACCAGGUGUGUGUGUGUGUGUGUGUGUGUGUGUAGAGGGGCAGGAGGAGGGGGGUUACUGGCAUAAGAGAAGCAGCUGCAAACAGCUGGCAUUAUACCCACAAAAGCAAAUCACUGUCCGUACCCCCUUACGGUGGGUAGGUUAUAAUUUAAUAACACAUAUCGCCAUAAUAAACUGCACACAGUAGCCCCCACCAGUACUAUUACCUGGAUUUCAGGAAGUCCACCCCAAAGAGCAAGAAUGAUUGCUUUUAUUAUAUCAAGCCAUGAUCUAUACCAUAAGCACUGUUUAUAUAUGGUGCUGUACAGACUAUAUGUUGUUCCUAGCCUGCAGAGCUUGCACUUUAAUGGCUGGUACUCAUAUGUGCUCAGGUAGGGUCCUGUGUAAAAUGCAUUAAUGGGGCAAAGGCAUACAUCUCUGUCAUUCAGAAGAAACAUUACAUCUGUUGCUAUGGUAAUUGCUCCACUUUUAUAUCACGCUUUAAAUAAUUGCCCCCAUAGUGUAAUUUGUCUAAGACGAUUGCAAAUGGAAACUAGAAUUAGUCCAUCCGGUGUGGUUAGCUGCUGAAAUAUUUUCAGUCUGUUUAAUAGUAUCCUGGUACAUACGUCCCUAGCGUAUAGUCUGUAAGGGAAAGCACAGUUAGAAUAUCUACGUUUUAUUCUACAUACACAGAGAAUGUCACAAACUAUCACCUGCUCUGGGGGAGUUUUGGUGGUCCCACGGCUCAUCAUGGUGUCUGUGAAUUGGGUACAUUGAAAAAUUUGAUUUUAACCUCUUAAAUACCAACCAAGUUCUUUGCUGUCCUCAAUAAUAUUUUGUUUAAAUUGGCAGUCUAAGCACCAUUACAAUUUUGCAUCUUUGCAAAGAUUAAGGCGCAAAGAGAACCCUGCAGCCAUUUGGACUGCGUAGAAUGGCUUUUAACUCGCACGUAGACUGCUUAGAGUGACUUUUAAUUCACAUGACGUUCCCCGCUUUAGUUACGUCUAUAAGAAACAUAUCAGCAUGGCUUAAACUAGAACAGUUGUUAGGGAACACUAUAGCGUGUUAGGAAUAAAAAUUUGUAAAGUUAUAGUGAUUAUGUCUAUAGUUGUAUGUAGGUGUGUCGUCGUCCCCCUUUGUAAUAAAAAAUGAUCAGAAUAAAAGUUUUACUUGCCUCUAAAGCUUCCUCCAUGCUCUUCACCUCUCCGCCUUCUGUGACAUCAUUGAGGAGGUGCGGCCUUUGCCCAGAUGGUCCAAUCCAUUGCUCCUAGUAGAAGAGCAGUGGGGACCUAAAGCACAUGUCCAGCAAGUGCAACUAAGUUUUCCCAUUGCAAAGCAUUUUAUUUAGUACUUACAUAUGCUUUUUAUAUGGACCUCGCGUUACAAAGUUUUACUUAGUCAGUGCCGUGGAAGUGCCUCUGGUGGCUGUCAGUAUUACAGCCACUAGAGGUGGGUUCAACCCUGUAACCACUGCACCACUGCACCCAGUCCACCCAUUGAGAUGAAGUGGUCUAGGUGACUAUAGUGUCCCUUUAUGAAAUCAGAUCUCUUUUAUAUCAAGGGAUUAGAUCUUGGUUGAUAUUCUAUUCAAGAUAUGCUUGUUUUAAGUUGGCGGUCAGAUUUCAUAUAUCUAGAUAAAUGUAAGUUUGUUUAAAAGUGAAAAUCAUGUGCUUUAAACAAUGUAACCCAAAAUAACUGUUUUCCAAAAAUACCUAACCACAGUGUCACCAUCUGCCGGCAGGGCAGCAUUUUAUGAGCAAGAGUUGACAAAAUUAUUACAAUUUCAGGCCAAAAAAAAAAAAUAGAUUUGGAGAAUUUUUAAAAAAAAAUUGGCUUUUUUUUACAGUCACAAAAAUAACUUUAAUGCAUUGCUGAUUUAUACAAAACUGAUCCUUAUCUGCACAAUGUGAUUUCUCAUUUUAGCACCAAAUUCACCUGCACCUAAAGGCUGGACCUUGGACCUGUGAAACCGCAAACGCUGCCUGAGUCUUUGACAGAGCCGUACUAACAGCUGUGAAAAUGGCCCUAUUGACGCUGGACUUGAGGACUAGCAAAGCAUCAUGGGAAAGGGAAAUAAAAUAGCUUUAUGUCACCAUAGUCAUUAAAUAUAAAAUAUUAGAAUAUAUAGUAUUAGAAUCAUAUUGGAUUGGUACUGGAUAUGUUUUGUAACCCGCCCGAGAGCUACUGAUAUAGGAUCUUAAAUUUGCGUGGAGUUAGGCAGUGGCAAAUGGACUAGACAUAGCUGGAAAUAUAGGAGAAUUUAUCAAAUUCGCCAAUUUUCCAGAUCGGAUAUUUUGGCCAUUAAUUUACAAUAGACUUUUUAGUUUUGUUCAGUUCUAUAUGUAAUUCUCCUUUGCCUUUUAACCCAUUCAUGACCAAUGAUGGCGUAACGUCCCCCUGAAUCAAUGACUCUAUAGGUGGCAUUGCCAUUUGGAUGCCAUUAUUAUCUGCACCCCUUAUCUUUAACCCUCUAAGUGCCACACUGUGCAGGUCUUGUUAUCGUUCAGCAUUUGUGGGACCCGUCACUCACUUUUUUUUAUUGACAAACAAAGGAUUAUUGUGCACCAUAGGUGGAUCAAAAGUAAAUCUUGUACUCUGGGCAGGUGCCUGUUCCCUAAUGUGUGCCCCAAAUCAGCAAAUUCUAAGGAGCGCCCACUUGAUCCAGCCUAGAAUUAGUUGUUUUCGUUUUGAGCACCCAGCUGCACUGAUACCAUAUAUAAUUUAUCAGCUGCGGGAUAAAUAGAUUUGACAAAGGUGCGCUCGAGAGACAAGAG
rnacentral:lncRNA from 1 species